rnacentral:tRNA from 1 species
CAGGAAAUAGUUUAAGAAAAAUAUUAAUUUUGGAGAUUAAAGAUAAAAAGUUUUUUUUCCUGA